UACGUAGGGUGCAAGCGUUAAUCGGAAUUACUGGGCGUAAAGCGUGCGCAGGCGGUGAUGUAAGACAGUUGUGAAAUCCCCGGGCUCAACCUGGGAACUGCAUCUGUGACUGCAUCGCUGGAGUGCGGCAGAGGGGGAUGGAAUUCCGCGUGUAGCAGUGGAAUGCGUAGAUAUGCGGAGGAACACCGAUGGCGAAGGCAAUCCCCUGGGCCUGCACUGACGCUCAUGCACGAAAGCGUGGGGAGCAAACAGG
rnacentral:rRNA from 1 species